rnacentral:lncRNA from 1 species
ACAAAAUGAAACGAUUUUUUUUUUUAAUAGAAACGACAUUUAUUCAUUACUACGAACAUUUAAACAUUACAAAAGGGGUUAUGAUCAUGAGGAUCAUUACCAUGGGGUAACACAUGCAUGACAUGUAGGUUACCAAUAGUAGCUAGAGUUCUACAAUACAUAAGGAAAAUAGUUUUUACAGACUUUUCACCUCCUUUAUCUGCCAGCAUCCUGGUCAAGACAAAGGGUGGUGGAAAUAACCAGAAUUGUAAUUUAUUUAUCACUAAAUUCUCCACUGCAUGCUUAGCCAAAAAGUGAGCCACUUCAUUCCCCUGCCUGAAUGUAUGUUGUAUUUCCACGUUGUCCAUUUGCUCCAGAAGUGCAUGUAGGUUACCAAUAGUAGAAAGGAUUCUUUACUUUUUGAAGAAUACUUUUCUUUUUCUUCAAGGACACGUAAAAUCAGAGUUGAGGUUAAAAAAUUUAAUUUUUUUUUUUAAAGAACAGAUUUGAGGUCUUGAAAAGGCCAGGCAUAAUUUAUUUUUAAUGAACCGUGAAGGAAGGACAUUCCCUUUCUAGGUACUGAUGCCUCCCUCUGUCUGCGGUGUACAGAUCUGCUCAAAACUAGAGCAGUUCAAGUUGAUCAGCUAAGGUUCCUCGUAACCUAAAGAAAAAGUAAAUUUAUAAUUCAAAACAAAU